rnacentral:rRNA from 1 species
UACAGAGGGUGCAAGCGUUAAUCGGAAUGACUGGGCGUAAAGGGCGCGUAGGUGGAUGCAUGAGUAAAUUGUGAAAGGCCCGGGCUUAACCUGGGCAGGUCAAUUUAAACGGUGCAUCUGGAGUGGAGUAGAGGGAAGUAGAAUUUCCGGUGUAGCGGUGAAAUGCGUAGAUAUCGGAAGGAAUACCGGUGGCGAAGGCGUCUUCCUGGACUCUAACUGACACUGAGGCGCGAAAGCAUGGGGAUCAAACAGG